rnacentral:tRNA from 1 species
UCCCUAGUGGCUCAGAUGGUAAAGAAUCUGCCUGCAAUGUAGGAGACCUGGGUUCAAUCCCUGGGUUGGGAA